UUUGCAGGCUGUGAUGUUACGGACUCACUUGGACCUGUUGAUUCAGAUAUUGAGGUGGUACCAGCAGGCUCAGAUGUUGCUGUAUCAGUAGAACCGGUAGGUUCAGUUGGCGAUGUGGUCUCUGCAGUCUGUGAUGUUACUGAAUCAGUUGGACCUGUUGAUUCAGAUCCUGAGGUGGAACCAGCAGGCUCAGAUGUGGCUGUAUCAGUAGAA